CAAACUGGAGAUGGCGACCGGCGCACGGGUGAGUAACACGUAUCCAACCUGCCGAUAACUCGGGGAUAGCCUUUCGAAAGAAAGAUUAAUACCCGAUGGCAUAAUAGAACCGCAUGGUUUGAUUAUUAAAGAAUUUCGGUUAUCGAUGGGGAUGCGUUCCAUUAGGCAGUUGGUGGGGUAAUGGCCCACCAAACCUUCGAUGGAUAGGGGUUCUGAGAGGAAGGUCCCCCACAUUGGAACUGAGACACGGUCCAAACUCCUACGGGAGGCAAUG
rnacentral:rRNA from 1 species